GCAGGGCGCCACGUGCGGCAACCCGGAAGUGAUUGCUCCAGGGGUAGCGAUCACUCGGGUGCCCGGCAGUGAGAGGGGGUAUUCCACGAUGUCUCGAUAUUGAGGUAUUGUGUAAUACCUUUAGAGCGGCUGGAAGCGAUCACAUUCUUAGUAUCAUGCGCAUAUGAAAUAUACCCUGAUUAACAAUGAGUCACAAUGAGCCCCAUGUAUGUGACUGUCAUUCCUCUAUGUAGUCUUAGUGCAUAUAGCAUUAGUGAUCUGCAUUAUUAAAAUGUCAUAAAAACUGACCAUCUAUAUAUUAAACUUAUUUUGGGAUAUGAAUUGCCUCUUAAUUGCUGUAUUUUCUCUCUACCACUAGGUGGCAGUCCUUUAGAAUCCUUGAUUGCAUUUCUAGAAUGUAUUAUUUUAUUAUAAAACAGAGACAUAUUUUCAGUUUAGACAACAGGUAAACCAAACAACUGAUGACAAAUUAAGGAUUGCAGGAGCACAAUGUUUCCAUAGUCAAUAGCUUACAGUCUAUAAAUAACAGUGAUGUUACAGAAACACUAAAAUGAAAGCUAUCUAUAAGUGAGGAUAGUCUACAAGGUGUAUCGCCCGUAUACAGUAUGUCAAUAACCAUCUAUAUAUAUAUACUCACACAGUCACGGCUGAGGAAGAGGGUGUAAUAAGAAUGGUCCAGCAGUGGAAAGGUAAACUACAUCAGCUUCCUAAACGGCUCAGAACAGCCUGACAGUAACAUUUUAAUACACGUGUGUGUGAAUAUAUAAAUAUAUAUGCAAUAAGGAACACGUACAAGGGGUACAAGGGGAAUAGAGCAUCAUUUUACUUAAAGGAGAACUCCAACUACUAUAACCAGAAACGCCCUGAUAGCCCCCACUCCCUGAUGGACGCUGUCGCUAAUUAACUUCUGUUAGCUCUCCUGAGAUAAGACUUGCAGUGCAGGGUUUGCACACUGAGGUAAACACCACUGGGCAACAGAGCUUCUGAUUCCCCCUGAGCUGUAUUGGAGAUGGGGAGCGGUGCCUGGCAGACCCCCAGUAAGUUUAAACGUUGUGCUGUGCCAGGAGUGUCCCCAUAGGCGUGCGCAGCCUAUUGCAUUAGGGUGUGCACCCUAAAGCACAAACACACGCCGCGCGUGUGUGUGUGUGUGUG